GGAUGUGAGGGCAAUCUGGCUGCGACAUGUGUCACCCCUCUGAUCACCAGGGUUGAUCCGGCUGAUGUGGCUGGCUAGGCGGGUGUCCCCUUCCUCCCUCACCGCUCCAUGUGCGUCCUUCCCGAAGCUGCGCGCUUGGUGGAAGAGGAUGGCCUUCCCCGAAUAGAGAGGAGCCGGUCUUCGGUUGAGGGUAUAGGAGUAGCUGCGCUCCCCUGCUAGAACCUCCAAACAAGCUCUCAAGCUUUCCUCUUUUUCUAAUAACAUGGAAAAAUGACGUAUGAAAGAGAAACACCCCCCCCAAAAAAAAAA
rnacentral:snRNA from 1 species